rnacentral:rRNA from 1 species
GAUGAACGCUGGCGGCGUGCCUAAUACAUGCAAGUCGAGCGAACAGACGAGGAGCUUGCCCCUCUGACGUUAGCGGCGGACGGGUGAGUAACACGUGGAUAACCUACCUAUAAGACUGGGAUAACUUCGGGAAACCGGAGCUAAUACCGGAUAAUAUAUUGAACCGCAUGGUUCAAUAGUGAAAGACGGUUUUGCUGUCACUUAUAGAUGGAUCCGCGCCGCAUUAGCUAGUUGGUAAGGUAACGGCUUACCAAGGCAACGAUGCGUAGCCGACCUGAGAGGGUGAUCGGCCACCCUGGAACGGAGACACGGUCCAGACGCCUACGGGAGGCAGCAGUAGGGAAUCUUCCGCAAUGGGCGAAAGCCUGACGGAGCAACGCCGCGUGAGUGAUGAAGGUCUUCGGAUCGUAAAACUCUGUUAUUAGGGAAGAACAAAUGUGUAAGUAAAUAUGCACGUCUUGACGGUACCUAAUCAGAAAGCCACGGCUAACUACGUG